rnacentral:rRNA from 1 species
UACGGAAGGCAGCAGUGGGGAAUAUUGCACAAUGGGCGAAAGCCUGAUGCAGCUAUGCCGCGUGUAUGAAGAAGGCCUUAGGGUUGUAAAGUACUUUCAUCGGGGAGGAAAAACAAAACUAAUAAUUUUAUUUCUUGACGUUACCCGAAAAAGAAGCACCGGCUAACUCCGUGCCAGCAGCCGCGGUAAUACGGAGGGUGCUAGCGUUAAUCAGAAUUACUGGGCGUAAAGAGCACGUAGGUGGUUUUUUUAAGUCAGAUGUGAAAUCCCUGGGCUUAACCUAGGAACUGCAUUUUGAAACUGAAAUACUAGAGUAUCGUAGAGGGAGGUAGAAUUCUAGGUGUAGCGGUGAAAUGCGUAGAUAUCUGGAGGAAUACCUGUGGCGAAAGUGGCCUCCUAAACGAAUACUGACACUGAGGGUGCGAAAGCGUGGGGAGCAAACAGGGAUUAGAUA